CCUACGGGAGGCAGCAGUGAGGAAUAUUGCGCAAUGGGGGCAACCCUGACGCAGCGACGCCGCGUGAGUGAGGAAGGCCUUCGGGUCGUAAAGCUCUGUCAGCAGGGAAGAAGUGUGAGGGGGUUAACAGCCUUUUCAUUUGACGGUACCUGCAGAGGAAGCACCGGCUAACUCCGUGCCAGCAGCCGCGGUAAUACGGAGGGUGCGAGCGUUGUUCGGAAUUACUGGGCGUAAAGGGCGCGCAGGCGGCUUUAUAAGUCAGAUGUGAAAGUCCACGGCUUAACUGUGGAAGUGCAUUUGAAACUGUGAGGCUUGAGUACCAGAGGGGAAGGUGGAAUUCCCGGUGUAGAGGUGAAAUUCGUAGAUAUCGGGAGGAAUACCGGUGGCGAAGGCGACUUUCUGGCUGGAUACUGACGCUGAGGCGCGAAAGCGUGGGGAGCAAACA
rnacentral:rRNA from 1 species